AACGAACGCUGGCGGCAGGCCUAACACAUGCAAGUCGAACGCCGUAGCAAUACGGAGUGGCAGACGGGUGAGUAACACGUGGGAACGUACCCUUCGGUUCGGGAUAACUCAGGGAAACUUGAGCUAAUACCGGAUACGUCCGAGAGGAGAAAGAUUUAUUGCCGAGGGAUCGGCCCGNGUCUGAUUAGCUUGUUGGUGAGGUAACGGCUCACCAAGGCGACGAUCAGUAGCUGGUCGAGAGGAUGAUCAGCCACAUUGGGACUGAGACACGGCCCAAACUCCUACGGAGGCAGCAGUGGGGAAUAUUGGACAAUGGGCGCAAGCCUGAUCCAGCCAUGCCGCGUGAGUGAUGAA
rnacentral:rRNA from 1 species